rnacentral:rRNA from 1 species
CCAAGCGAUGGGGUGACGCAGGAAGGUAGCUGGGCCAGUCAGUGGUUGUACUGGUGUAAGAGUGUAGGCCGUGACAUAGGCAAAUCCGUGUCACAUUAAGGCUGAGACUUGAUGCAUACCCGUUGUGGGGAAUUCAGUGAUCCUAUGCUGCCGAGAAAAGCCUCUAGUGAGUUCAUACACGGCCCGUACCCCAAACCGACACAGGUGAUCAGGUAGAGAAUACCAAGGCGAUCGAGAGAACUGUGGUUAAGGAACUCGGCAAAAUGCCCCCGUAACUUCGGGAGAAGGGGGACCAUGCCCGGUGAACAUCUUCACGGUGGGAGCUGGGUGUGGUCGCAGAGACCAGAGAGAAGCGACUGUUUACUAAAAACACAGGUCCGUGCGAAGACGUAAGUCGAUGUAUACGGACUGACGCCUGCCCGGUGCUGGAAGGUUAAGAGGACCGGUUAGCCGUAAGGCGAAGCUGAGAAUUUAAGCCCCAGUAAACGGCGGUGGUAACAUAACCAUCCUAAGGUAGCGAAAUUCCUUGUCGGGUAAGUUCCGACCUGCACGAAUGGCGUAACGACUUCUCUGCUGUCUCGACCACAGACUCGGCGAAAUUGCACUACGAGUAAAGAUGCUCGUUACGCGCGGCAGGACGAAAAGACCCCGGGACCUUUACUAUAGCUUGGUAUUGGCGUUCGAUUCGGUUUGUGUAGGAUAGGUGGGAGACUGUGAAGCAUGCACGCCAGUGUGUGUGGAGUCGUUGUUGAAAUACCACUCUGAUCGUAUUGGACGUCUAACCUCGGCCCAUGAUCUGGGUUAGGGACAGUGCGUGGUGGGUAGUUUAACUGGGGCGGUUGCCUCCUAAAGAGUAACGGAGGCGCCCAAAGGUUCCCUCAGCCUGGAUGGCAAUCAGGUGUUGAGUGCAAGUGCACAAGGGAGCUUGACUGUGAGACUGACACGUCGAGCAGGGACGAAAGUCGGGACUAGUGAUCCGGCACCGGCAAGUGGAAGCGGUGUCGCUCAACGGAUAAAAGGUACCCCGGGGAUAACAGGCCGAUCUUCCCCAAGAGUCCAUAUCGACGGGAUGGUUUGGCACCUCGAUGUCGGCUCGUCGCAUCCUGGGGCUGGAGUAGGUCCCAAGGGUUGGGCUGUUCGCCCAUUAAAGCGGCACGCGAGCUGGGUUUAGAACGUCGUGAGACAGUUCGGUCUCUAUCCGCCGCGCGCGUAAGAAACUUGAGGAAGGCUGUCCCUAGUACGAGAGGACCGGGACGGACGAACCUCUGGUGUGCCAGUUGUUCCACCAGGAGCAUGGCUGGUUAGCUACGUUCGGAAGGGAUAACCGCUGAAAGCAUCUAAGCGGGAAGCCUGUUCCAAGAUGAGGUUUCUCACCACCUUGCGUGGUUAAGGCCCCCUACAGACCAUGGGGUUGAUAGGCCGGAACUGGAAGCGCAGCAAUGCGUGGAGGUGACCGGUACUAAUAGGCCGAGGGCUUAC